rnacentral:rRNA from 1 species
GACGAACGCUGGCGGCGUGCUUAACACAUGCAAGUCGAGCGGAAAGGCCCCUUCGGGGGUACUCGAGCGGCGAACGGGUGAGUAACACGUGAGUAAUCUGCCCUUGGCUUCGGGAUAGCCACCGGAAACGGUGAUUAAUACCGGAUAUGACCAGCUACUGCAUGGUGGUUGGUGGAAAGUUUUUCGGCCAGGGAUGUGCUCGCGGCCUAUCAGCUUGAUGGUGAGGUAACGGCUCACCAUGGCUUCGACGGGUAGCCGGCCUGAGAGGGUGACCGGUAACACUGGGACUGAGACACGGCCCAGACUCCUACGGGAGGCGGCAGUGGGGAAUAUUGGUCGAUGGGCGGAAGCCUGAUCCAGCCAUGCCGCGUGAGGGAUGACGGCCUUCGGGUUGUAAACCUCUUUCAGUACCGACGAAGCGCAAGUGACGGUAGGUACAGAAGAAGCACCGGCCAACUACGUGCCAGCCGCCGCGGUAAAAC